UACGAGGGGGGCUAGCGUUGCUCGGAAUCACUGGGCGUAAAGCGCACGUAGGCGGAUUGCUAAGUCAGGGGUGAAAUCCUGGAGCUCAACUCCAGAACUGCCUUUGAUACUGGCGAUCUUGAGUCCGGGAGAGGUGAGUGGAACUGCGAGUGUAGAGGUGAAAUUCGUAGAUAUUCGCAAGAACACCAGUGGCGAAGGCGGCUCACUGGCCCGGUACUGACGCUGAGGCGCGAAAGCCAGGGGAGCAAAGCGGG
rnacentral:rRNA from 1 species